rnacentral:misc_RNA from 1 species
AAACAAAGUGGAAUGGGAGGUCACCGGUGAAUGUUUCUUCAGGUUUGGAGUAGAGCAAACGGUUGAGAUCCAGCCUGUAAGAUCUUGAGAAUAAAAACAAAUUUAUGAAAUCCUGAUCACAGGAAAGAGGUCUUUAUGACUAAUGUUUAUAUUGUAUUAAUGACAAUUUUAUGUUUAUCUAAUGGGUUUUAACAAGAAAAAAUAACCGGUGUUGAAUAAGAAUUAUUUGUAGUUUGUGUUGAUUAAUUGCAAAAUGAACUUUUGCCAAAUGAAUGUUUAAUGAAAGACAUUUAUUAAAUGUAGAUAUGUUUACCUUAGCUUUUAAAAUGCCUGUUUUUAAGAUCGAAUAAAAUAUAAAUCAAU